CUCUGGGAUGGACCUGCGGUGCAUUAGCUAGUUGGUAAGGUAACGGCUUACCAAGGCGAUGAUGCAUAGCCGAGUUGAGAGACUGAUCGGCCACAAUGGAACUGAGACACGGUCCAUACUCCUACGGGAGGCAGCAGUAGGGAAUCUUCCACAAUGGGCGCAAGCCUGAUGGAGCAACACCGCGUGAGUGAAGAAGGGUUUCGGCUCGUAAAGCUCUGUUGUUGGAGAAGAACGUGCGUGAGAGUAACUGUUCACGCAGUGACGGUAUCCAACCAGAAAGUCACGGCUAACUACGUGCCAGCAGCCGCGGUAAUACGUAGGUGGCAAGCGUUAUCCGGAUUUAUUGGGCGUAAAGCGAGCGCAGGCGGUUGCUUAGGUCUGAUGUGAAAGCCUUCGGCUUAACCGAAGAAGUGCAUCGGAAACCGGGCGACUUGAGUGCAGAAGAGGACAGUGGAACUCCAUGUGUAGCGGUGGAAUGCGUAGAUAUAUGGAAGAACACCAGUGGCGAAGGCGGCUGUCUGGUCUGCAACUGACGCUGAGGCUCGAAAGCAUGGGUAGCGAACAGGAUUAGAUACCCUGGUAGUCCAUGCCGUAAA
rnacentral:rRNA from 1 species